rnacentral:lncRNA from 1 species
GUCUGAUAAACAAUUAGUAAGUGAAAUGCCUACAUAUUGAUGCCUCAGUUGGCAGUAUGUCCUUGUUUGGUGAUUGGGAAAAAUGACGGGAAAAUUAGAAAUCCAUCAAGACUUUAUUUCUGAUUUGUUUGCGUGGUGAUACUGCACCUAUAUCUCUUACUUGCACUUACUGAUGCACAAUUUCUGCAACAGACUAAAAUACUUCAGUAAACAAAC